UCAUAUACUAGUGGCGGAUCCAGAGCCUGAGCCUGAGAGGGGCACUUGUAGAUUAUUUAAAUAAAUAUUCCAUGCACAAUAACCACUACUCCUCUGUGUAGUGGUUAUGGUGCCAGGAGCGUCGGCAUCCCUCCCAGAGUAAGUCGACAAACCGUUUAAGAACAGUUUGACAACUUACCUGGAGUCUGCUGGGAUAUGGGGCUGUAGUAGGGUAUAGGAGCAGUGGUGCAAUGUGUGUGAAAGGUUCAGUGUGUGGGUGGGCAGUGUGUAAAUGUGUAUGGUGUGUGUGUGUGGGAGCAGUGUGUGAAUGUGUA
rnacentral:lncRNA from 1 species